rnacentral:rRNA from 1 species
AUUGAACGCUGGCGGCAGGCCUAACACAUGCAAGUCGAACGAGUGGCGGACGGGUGAGUAAUGUCUGGGAAACUGCCUGAUGGAGGGGGAUAACUACUGGAAACGGUAGCUAAUACCGCAUACCAUCAGAUGUGCCCAGAGUGGAUUAGCUUGUUGGUGGGGUAAAGUCUCACCAAGGCGACGAUCCCUAGCUGGUCUGAGAGGAUGACCAACUACACGUGAACUGAGAUACGGUCCAGACUCCUACGGGAGGCAGCAGUGGGGAAUAUUGCACAAUGGGCGCAAGCCGGAUGCAGCCAUGCCGCGUGUAUGAAGAAGGCCUUCGGGUUGUAAAGUACUUUCAGCGGGGAGGCGUUACCCGAAGAAGAAGCACCGGCUAACUCCGUGCCAGCAGCCGCGGUAAUAC